UUUCAAGUUUUCGAGUUUCUUCAAUAAAAAGAAGAGAACUGUGAUCUACACAGGCUAAAAAUCAAUUUAUCUAUAACUAAGACUGACCAGUUUCUAUAACAAGAAAAGUAAGUGCGUUUGUUUAAUGUAAGCCAAGUAGUAUGUCCUUAAUGAUCUUAAGUGAAUAAGGAUAUUAUAGACACAUAGAACAUUAAGUUAAUUUAACCUAGGGUAACCAAAUAAAAAUUAAAAAGGCACAAUACCAUGACUGGAAUAGUGAUGUAUCGGAGAUCCGCAUCCGCAUCCGCAGAACAUCCUCGCAAUUUCUUACAUCUUCAUCUGUAUCCGCAUUUUACUGUAAACAGAUAUCCGCAUAUGCAUCCGCAUCCGAAUCCCCGGAACAUCCUCACAAUUUCUUACAUCCCCAUCAACAUCCGCACAAUUUCUUAUCCGCAUCCGCAAAAUAAGUAAGACAUCCUCAUACACAUCCGCAUCCUCGGAUAUCUAAAUUUUCACAUCCGAUACAUCUCUAGACUGGAACAACAUAUAAAUAACCCGCACAUAGGAGAGAGAAAACCAUUUGCAAAUUCACAUUUACAAAGUCGUCGUUAGCUUUUCUCUCCUAUGUGCGAGUUAUUUGUGCAUUGUUCCAGGCACGAUGUUGUGACUUUUGUAUUUGCUCGAGACUUAACAGCACAUUAUCCUGGUCUUAAGAUGCAUCAGCCAAUAAAUAUUAAAACCUCUCAUAAGAGAUAAACUGAAGUAUAUUGAACGUGUAUUAAUUCUGGUAGAAUUGCCGACAAUGUUAGGUAAAAGGACACAAGUUCAACUAAUGUGACAUUUUACUGUGGCAACGUUUUGCUCUCCUGGAGCUUUAUAAAGCCGGUCUCGAGUUGUGAGAGAAAUAACGUCAAAGAGAAAGAAGAAAGGAAAAAAUAUCCAGCGACUUCCCCUAAUGCUGGAGGAGGAUCUAAUAACCUCAGCCUGAGCCUUGUUAUCACUCUUAUUGCUUUUGUUAUUGUAUUUUGUUAUUGUUAUUAUACUUUUUUGUUAAUGCUGUUAUUUUUUUGGCUUGCUGUUGUUGUUAUAGUUGCUGUGUUGUUAUUGUUAUUGCUGUUAUUGUUGCUAUUGAUGCUUUUGUCAGGCUCAUACAAGAGCACAAAAUACCUAAUUUGAUUAAGCUACGAUGAAAAAACAACACGAAUAUUUUUCGAUACAUAACACGUGUUUUCAAACGUAAUUUUAUGACCAUAAAAAAAGGCAUUUUUUUUUCUUCCCAAAUGGUUAGGAGCUUAGAACUGGUUUGAAGAGUAUGGAAAAACCCCCGUGUAAGGAGGAGCCGAGCUUGUAAUGGUGUUUCCUGGGAGGGUAUAUAAAGGCUUGCAGCUGGCAAGGUUUACAUAGCCAACGUGAAGAGAAGCUCCUCUCUCUCUCUCGUCUCGACUUUAUCGCAGCCGGCGACAUGAAAGCUCUGUGUCUGUUGCUGAUUGUGGUGGUGGCCCUGACCGCCCUGAUGGGGUCUGCCCUAGCCAUGCCCGGCCCUGACGCCCUGGCUUACCCGGACCCCUAUGCUGACCCACACUGGAGGUAUCGCGGUGGAUUUGGUGGCUUUGGUGGCUUUGGCGGGUUCCGUCGUGGCUUUGGUGGUUUCUACGGAUAAACAUGGACUGCCCCAGCUACCCCGAGUCAUCUCUCUGUUGACGAAUUCUGCGAGACACAGGACGAUGGAAAAAGUAUGAAAUAGCCAUGAAUGAAGACACAAAACAUACAUCCAGUCACGCAACCUGUUCUGUCUUAACAGCAAACACAGAUCCAGCAUCUUCAAUCUUUAAUCUUCAUCCUCCAUUUUAAGAUACCAAAUACCAGUCAGCAUCUUCACUCUGCAAUUUCUUCCACUUCAGCAUCUCUGAGAUUAAGCUCAUCUAACCUUCACAUAUCUGCGACAGCUGUUACAUGGAUAUCAUUUUACUGUUCUGUUGCUAACAAAUAUAAACAAAGAUAAUAAAAAAUAUAUACUGC